UACGUAGGGUGCGAGCGUUGUCCGGAAUUAUUGGGCGUAAAGAGCUCGUAGGCGGCUUGUCGCGUCGGAUGUGAAAGCCCGGGGCUUAAACUCCGGGUCUGCAUUCGAUACGGGCAGGCUAGAGUUCGGUAGGGGAGAUCGGAAUUCCUGGUGUAGCGGUGAAAUGCGCAGAUAUCAGGAGGAACACCGGUGGCGAAGGCGGAUCUCUGGGCCGAUACUGACGCUGAGGAGCGAAAGCGUGGGGAGCGAACAGG
rnacentral:rRNA from 1 species